UGUUUCCCUUUAAAGAAAAAAAAGGUGCCCCUAAAGUCUCCGUGCUUGUAUUUCGUCCUACACUGGUAUAAGCGCUCAAGACAACUACUCUAAAUGGACUUUCAACAUUGUCGCUUUUGAAAUUUAACUGAAUUUUUCUGUUUCGUGGAAAUAUACAUAUAUAAAAAAAAAAUAUACAAUAUUAUAUUACGAUGGACAAUUUGUGUUUUUUCCAUUUUAUACGCAAGGGUCUUUAAAAAAUUUGACCCUUGGGCCUCCUUUGCUCAUGUCCUCGUAAGUCUGGUGUUCGUUCGGUAUAAAAUCGAACUAUAUUAUAAUGUUAUUGGACCGCGUGUGAUUUAAUUUAUUUCUAAAUAUCCGACCGAGAAAAAGCCAUCGACGAGGAAAAAGCCAUUCGCCCGACGACGCGUCAUGUUAUUAUAGGCGAAAUAACGUGGGUUCUCCACCU